UUCCGGUUGAUCCCGCCGGAGGUCACCGCUAUUGGAAUUCGCUUUAGCCAUGCAAGUCUAAAGGACUUCGGUCCUUGGCGGACUGCUCAGUAACACGCGGACAAUCUACCCUCGGGAGGGGGAUAAGCUCGGGAAACUGAGUAUAAUACCCCAUAGGUGUAGGAUACUGGAAUGUUCCUACGCUCAAAGUUCCGACGCCCGAGGAUGAGUCUGUGGCCUAUCAGGCUGUAGUGAGUGUAACGGACUCACUAACCGACGACGGGUACGGGCCUUGAGAGAGGUCGCCCGGAGAUGGACUCUGAGACAUGAGUCCAGGCCCUACGGGGCGCAGCAGGCGCGAAACUUCACAAUGUGGCAACCACGAUGAGGGAAUUCCAAGUGCUCAUGCUUGCAUGUGCUGUUUCUUAGCCUAAGUAGCUGGGAGAGUAAGGGCUGGGUAAGACGGGUGCCAGCCGCCGCGGUAAUACCCGCAGCCCGAGUGGUGAUCGGUUUUAUUGGGCCUAAAGCGUCCGUAGCCGGUCUGGUAAAUUCCUGGGUAAAUCGGGUCGCUUAACGAUUCGAAUUCCGGGAACACUGCCAGACUUGGGACUGGGAGAGGCCAGAGGUACUCCAGGGGUAGGGGUGAAAUCCUGUAAUCCUUGGGGGACCACCAGUGGCGAAGGCGUCUGGCUAGAACGGGUCCGACGGUAAGGGACGAAGCCCUGGGGCACAAACCGGAUUAGAUACCCGGGUAGUCCAGGGUGUAAACGCUGCGAGCUUGGUGUUGGGGGUCCCAAGUGGGCGUCCAGUGCCGGAGAGAAGUUGUUAAGCUCGCCGCCUGGGGAGUACGGUCGCAAGACUGAAACUUAAAGGAAUUGGCGGGGGAGCACCGCAACGGGUGGAGCGUGCGGUUUAAUUGGACUCAACGC
rnacentral:rRNA from 1 species